UGGGGGAUAAGCUCCAUGGUCGAGAGGGAAACAGCCCAGAGCAUCGACUAAGGCCCCUAAGCGUAUGCUAAGUGGGAAAGGAUGUGGAGUCGCAGAGACAACCAGGAGGUUGGCUUAGAAGCAGCCACCCUUGAAAGAGUGCGUAAUAGCUCACUGGUCAAGUGAUUCCGCGCCGACAAUGUAGCGGGGCUCAAGUAUACCGCCGAAGUCGUGUCACUCACACAAGUACUUCUAACGAAGGUGUGGGUGGGUAGGGGAGCGUCGUGUGCCGGGUGAAGCAGCGCCGGAAGGUAGUUGUGGACGGUUCACGAGUGAGAAUGCAGGCAUGAGUAGCGAUACAAGAGUGGGAAACUCUUGCGCCGAUUGACUAAGGGUUCCUGGGUCAAGCUGAUCUGCCCAGGGUAAGUCGGGACCUAAGGCGAGGCCGACAGGCGUAGUCGAUGGACAACCGGUUGAUAUUCCGGUACCCGUGAUAGUGCGCCAACGCUGAACCCUCGAAUGCUAAGGCCGUGAAGCCGUUGGGUGCGUCUUCGGACAAUCCUGGUGUGAGUGGAGCCGCUGAUCCAACGUGGUAGUAGGUGAGCGAUGGGGUGACGCAGGAAGGUAGUCCAGCCCGGGCGGUGGUUGUCCCGGGGUAAGGGUGUAGGACGCAGGGUAGGUAAAUCCGUCCUGUUUGUGUCUGAGACCUGAUGCCGAGCCGAUUGUGGUGAAGUGGAUGAUCCUAUGCUGUCGAGAAAAGCCUCUAGUGAGUGCUGUUGCGGCCCGUACCCUAAACCGACUCAGGUGGUCUGGUAGAGAAUA
rnacentral:rRNA from 1 species